rnacentral:tRNA from 1 species
GGUCAUAUAGCUGAGACGGAUUAGCUUUGGCUUGAAACCCCAAACAGGUCGGUUCAAUUCCGACUAUGACCA